GAAUAUUGCACAAUGGGGGAAACCCUGAUGCAGCGACGCCGCGUGAGUGAUGAAGGUUUUCGGAUCGUAAAGCUCUAUCAGCAGGGAAGAUAAUGACGGUACCUGACUAAGAAGCCCCGGCUAACUACGUGCCAGCAGCCGCGGUAAUACGUAGGGGGCAAGCGUUAUCCGGAUUUACUGGGUGUAAAGGGAGCGCAGGUGGCAGUAUAAGUCAGAUGUGAAAGCCCAGGGCUCAACCCUGGGACUGCAUUUGAAACUAUACUGCUAGAGUGCAGGAGAGGUAAGUGGAAUUCCUAGUGUAGCGGUGAAAUGCGUAGAUAUUAGGAGGAACACCAGUGGCGAAGGCGGCUUACUGGACUGUAACUGACACUGAGGCUCGAAAGCGUGGGGGAGC
rnacentral:rRNA from 1 species